GUGGGGAAUAUUGGACAAUGGGCGAAAGCCUGAUCCAGCCAUGCCGCGUGAGUGAUGAAGGCCUUAGGGUUGUAAAGCUCUUUCAGUAGGGAAGAUAAUGACGGUACCUACAGAAGAAGCCCCGGCUAACUUCGUGCCAGCAGCCGCGGUAAUACGAAGGGGGCUAGCGUUGUUCGGAUUUACUGGGCGUAAAGCGCACGUAGGCGGAUUGGUCAGUUAGAGGUGAAAUCCUGGAGCUCAACUCCAGAACUGCCUUUAAUACUGCCAGUCUAGAGUCCAGAAGAGGUGAGUGGAACUCCUAGUGUAGAGGUGGAAUUCGUAGAUAUUAGGAAGAACACCAGUGGCGAAGGCGGCUCACUGGUCUGGUACUGACGCUGAGGUGCGAAAGCGUGGGGAGCAAACAGGAUUAGAUACCCGGGUAGUCC
rnacentral:rRNA from 1 species